rfam:Ornithorhynchus anatinus chromosome 3, whole genome shotgun sequence.
CCCCUCUCAGGGUGGCACCUGGAGAGUUUCCAGUACUCUACCAGUCUUGACUAGGAGAGGGAGAGUCCAGCAGGGGCCUACCCAUUCCAUUCCUAGCUUGGGCAGUGGCUAGCGAGAGGAAGGCAACCUAUUACAAGU